GUGCUCUCUUCAGCAGCGCAUGUGCUAAAACUGGAACUGCAGGGAGAUUAGUGUGGUCCCUAAGCAAGGAGGACACACGAAUUUGUGAAGCGGUCCAUGUUUUU
ensembl:snRNA U6 U6 spliceosomal RNA